rnacentral:rRNA from 1 species
GUCUAACACAUGCAAGUCGAACGGAGCUAUAAAACGGAAGUUUUCGGAUGGAAGGAUUAUAGUUUAGUGGCGGACGGGUGAGUAACGCGUGAGCAAUCUGCCCUUCAGUGGGGGAUAACAGUCGGAAACGACUGCUAAUACCGCAUAAUGCAGCGAGAUCGCAUGGUCUUGCUGCCAAAGAUUUAUUGCUGAAGGAUGAGCUCGCGUCUGAUUAGCUAGUUGGUGAGGUAACGGCCCACCAAGGCGACGAUCAGUAGCCGGACGUGGAGGUUGAACGGCCACAUUGGGACUGAGAUACGGCCCAGACUCCUACGGGAGGCAGCAGUGAAGAAUAUUGCACAAUGGAGGAAACUCUGAUGCAGCAACGCCGCGUGAAGGAUGAAGGUUUUCGGAUUGUAAACUUCUUUUGUCGGGGACGAAAAAAAUGACGGUACCUGACGAAUAAGCCACGGCUAACUACGUGCCAGCAGCCGCAGUAAAAC